rnacentral:rRNA from 1 species
UGGGGAAUAUUGGACAAUGGGGGAAACCCUGAUCCAGCCAUGCCGCGUGAGUGAAGAAGGCCUUCGGGUUGUAAAGCUCUUUCGACGGGGAAGAUGAUGACGGUACCCGUAUAAGAAGCCCCGGCUAACUUCGUGCCAGCAGCCGCGGUAAUACGAAGGGGGCUAGCGUUGUUCGGAAUUACUGGGCGUAAAGCGCGCGUAGGCGGUGAUCUUUGUCAGAGGUGAAAGCCCGGGGCUCAACUCCGGAAUUGCCUUUGAAACGGGAUCGCUUGAGUCCGAGAGAGGAUGGCGGAAUUCCUAGUGUAGAGGUGAAAUUCGUAGAUAUUAGGAAGAACACCGGUGGCGAAGGCGGCCAUCUGGCUCGGUACUGACGCUCAGGCGCGAAAGCGUGGGGAGCAAACA